ensembl:lncRNA
UGAAACCAGCUACACAGUAAAUUUGCCAGUGUCAAAAAGGCAGUGUCAAACUAUUUUAAUUCUUCCGGAGUUCUUCCAACAAUGGACAGAGUAAAAUUGAACCAGAAAACUUCCAGUGUUGGUGAAAAUAAUCGGAGUUAACAGAGGUUUUACUCUGUCAGUGUUAUUGACUCUCUCAGGCCCUGAUUCAACACUGAUUAGAGCAAGAUACCUUCCAGAGUAUCACAAAAAAUACUCUGGAGAGCCCCGCCCACCAACUUUCCCGGUCAAACUGAGAAUGUGGAUUCUGGCAUCGCCAUCUUCCUCGCAUCGAAAUACUGUGAUUGUUCUUUAAUGUACUGUGGUGCUCUGGUGAUACCAUCAUGUUGAUCAAAACAGUCCUGUCAUCCAGCACCAACCAAGAUCUUUGCCACUGUGAUAAGAUAUAUGCAACACUGGUAGGAGUUGGUUAAAAAUCAACACUCUUUGGAGUGAUUUCAUAAUCAACAUAGUGUAAAGUAGGUUUAACACUGGAAAGGUUAUUUCUUUUAUAACUCUUUAGUGU